UACGUAGGGUGCAAGCGUUAAUCGGAAUUACUGGGCGUAAAGCGUGCGCAGGCGGUUUUUGUAAGUUUGUCGUGAAAGCCCCGGGCUCAACCUGGGAAUUGCGAUGAAGACUGCAAGGCUUGAAUCUGGCAGAGGGGGGUAGAAUUCCACGUGUAGCAGUGAAAUGCGUAGAGAUGUGGAGGAACACCGAUGGCGAAGGCAGCCCCCCUGGGUCAAGAUUGACGCUCAUGCACGAAAGCGUGGGGAGCAAACAGG
rnacentral:rRNA from 1 species